rnacentral:rRNA from 1 species
GGCGGAGGCGCGGCUAUCAUGCAGUCGAGCGAAUGGAUUGAGAGCUUGCUCUCAAGAAGUUAGCGGCGGACGGGUGAGUAACACGUGGGUAACCUGCCCAUAAGACUGGGAUAACUCCGGGAAACCGGGGCUAAUACCGGAUAAUAUUUUGAACUGCAUGGUUCGAAAUUGAAAGGCGGCUUCGGCUGUCACUUAUGGAUGGACCCGCGUCGCAUUAGCUAGUUGGUGAGGUAACGGCUCACCAAGGCAACGAUGCGUAGCCGACCUGAGAGGGUGAUCGGCCACACUGGGACUGAGACACGGCCCAGACUCCUACGGGAGGCAGCAGUAGGGAAUCUUCCGCAAUGGACGAAAGUCUGACGGAGCAACGCCGCGUGAGUGAUGAAGGCUUUCGGGUCGUAAAACUCUGUUGUUAGGGAAGAACAAGUGCUAGUUGAAUAAGCUGGCACCUUGACGGUACCUAACCAGAAAGCCACGGCUAACUACGUGCCAGCAGCCCGGGUUAAAUACGA